rnacentral:rRNA from 1 species
CGAAGGUGGCAAGCGUUGUUCGGAUUUACUGGGCGUACAGGGUGCGUAGGCGGUUCGGUAAGCCCUCCGUGAAAUCUCCAGGCUUAACCUGGAAAGUGCAGAGGGGACUGCCGGGCUAGAGGACGGGAGAGGAGCGCGGAAUUCCCGGUGUAGCGGCGAAAUGCGUAGAGAUCGGGAGGAAGGCCGGUGGCGAAGGCGGCGCUCUGGAACGUUUCUGACGCUGAGGCACGAAAGCGUGGGGAGCAAACAGGAUUAGAUACCCUGGUAGUCCACGCCUUAAACGAUGGAUACUAAGUGUCGGCGGGUUACCGCCGGUGCCGCAGCUAACGCAGUAAGUAUCCCGCCUGGGAAGUACGGCCGCAAGGUUG